UCUUUCUCAAAUUUCACUUAUGGGAACAAGUUUCCUAAGACACUUAAACUGUUAAAAAUGAUGAACUAAGAUGCAACUGCCAAGCAUCAAGCUGCUGUUACAGAUUAAUGGUCAGGGAUUACAAAAAGAUAGUUACCAGACUGAGGACUUGGUAUUUGUGUGGAUUACUGAGGAAAGUAACAUGGUAAAGACAGGCAAACAGGAAACUGGACCUCUCAUGGAGUCAAAGUCCUUUAAAUGAGGUUUAAUCUUUGAAAGGAAAGAAGAAAAAAAAAACCAAGUUUUUCUUUAGGCUACUCAUCAUGUUUAAAGCAUACCACUCCCAAUUUUGUUAAGCUCAGGAUAUUUGAGAAAACUGAAGAAGCAAGAUCAUGAAGCAGGAUGUAGAACCUAAGGAUUUUCUUAUCUUCCCUAAAGCACACCUUAACACUCAUGUGAAAGAUGCCCUCCUAGCACUGGGAAAAGGAACAUCCCUACCUCUGAAGAUGAAAGGAAAUGGAGGAUCACAAACAAACCCUGCCAAGUGCCACCCAGUUCAUACCUUCUUUCUCUUAUCAUUUCCUAAAUGACUAUUCACAUUUUAUCAAACCUGACAUAAAUAUACAAAGAUUAAGCUAUUUAUUCAGGUCAACAUUUCCUCAUGAAGGCAUGUAACAAUUAUAGUUUAAAAUUUUUAAUGUUUCCUCUGUUAAUCUGCUUUUUGUUAUAGGUUAAGGGAAAUGUUAACGAAUAUGACUCACAAUCGACAUACAUAUUGGAAAUUAGCAGAGACAACAUUGAACUAGUUGCUAUGACUUCACUACAGAUGUUCAAAAUGUUAAGUAGCCUCAUGGGACAUAAAAGAGAGCCAAUUCUCCAUUCUAGAACAUGAGAGAUUUUUAAAAAAAUUACACUGCAUGAGAUUGAUGGCAGACUUGACAUUGCCAAAGGAAAGGUCAGUGAACUUGAAGACAUAGCAACAGAAAUGAGCUAAAAUGAAAACCUGAAGAAACAACAACAACAACAACAACAAAGAGUAAUAAAUGGCUACAGAAUCAGUGAAACAUGGAAUAACUUUAAGAAGUCCAAUAUACAGUGGCAAAAUAUCCCCAAAGGAGAAAAGACGCAGGAGGGCAGAUAAACAUUUUAAGAAAUUAUAGUCCUCCAAGUCAAAAUUUAAUAAAAAGAAUAAACUCAUCAAAAGUACAAAUGAUACUCUGAAACAGGAAAUCUACAGAAAACUGUAAUGAGGUACACAAGAACAAUUGCUCAAAACCAGCAAUAAAGAAAUAUGUUAAGAUGGUGGAGAAACAGAAAUAUUACAUACAAAGGAACAAAGGUAAUGACAGCAGACUUUUCAUAGGUACAAAAGUAAGCUAAAAAAAACAAAUACCUUAAAUUGAAAGAAAUAUCAUUUCAAUCUAGUAAUUGAUAAUAACUAUCAAAAAAUAGACAAAAUGUUUUAGAUUUAUAAAAGCUGAAAUAAUACAACCCCAGAAGACCCAAACUAUAAUAAAUAUUCAAAGUCCUUCAUCAAAAAGAAAGUGAUAUUAACUUGCGAUAUGGAUUGCCAAAAAGAAAUGAAGAACAAUGAAAUUGGUAAUUAUAAAAGUACAUAAUAAUCAGUUAAAUUGUUAAAUGAUAAUUGACAUAUUUCUAUGCCUAAUAAAAAAUAAUAACCUUCCACAAAGGAAACCA